AGCCGAGGUAGCUCAGAGGCAGAGCAGCUGAUUUGUAAUCAGCGGGUCGUGGGUUCGAAUCCCUCCCUCGGCUCCAU
rnacentral:tRNA from 1 species